rfam:Pteropus alecto contig100371, whole genome shotgun sequence.
GUCUACGGCCACGCUACCCUGAACAAGCCCGAUCCGGUAUGAUCUUGGAAGCUAAGCAGGGUCAGACCUGGUUAAUAUUUGGAUGGGAGAACACCUAGGGAGACCAAGUGCCGUAGGCA